GGGUGCGAUCAUACAAGCGUUAACGCACUGGAUCCCAUAAGAACUCCGCACUUAAGCGCGCUUGGGCUAGAGUUGUACUGGGAUGGAUGACCUCCCGGGAAGUCCUAGUGUUGCACCCU
rnacentral:rRNA from 1 species